UUUUGACCUUCUCUUAUAACAAAAGCGAGUCGAUUCAGAACAAUAAUAAUCAUUCAUACAAAGAGGACACUUCACGAGUACUUCAAUAGUCAUGCACAAAUCUAAUGAACGUAAAUCUAAUCGAGAAAUUACAUCAAGUUUCAACUUAUCCGUAUAACACACCAAAAUUUCGGACAAACAAACGAUAUUUUCUGCUUACUCCUAAUUUUCAUCUUAUUCGCUACAAAAUUCACCUAAAACUAACAUGCACUAUUCUAUAAAUUGAAACGCGACGUGAAUUUGGUAACACAUAACCGGACCACCAUGGUCCAUUAUUUGUACGACACUGUGGUGAUCGGUCCAGAGCAAUAUCAGUCAUCUCCAUUCUCUAAUCAGACGGCUACUACCUACGCUACCGAUCUUCACACGAACGAUUUAUUCUGCUCGAAUUUUGAGCUAUUCGAGUUCUUCGUAAUUGAUACUCGGUUUUCGAUUGCAUACUAUCUUGAUUCGCGAAUCUUAUAUUAGUAGUUGGAUUUCGACCAGUCUUUUGUCAUUUAUCGAAUUACGUGGGAACAGACGCGCGCGCUAUCUAUCUGGUCCAGUCAUUUUUUUCAUUAAUGAGCCCUCGAGGAUAUUUACCGUGUUACGUUUAAUUCCCCGAUGAUGGUCAGUAUCUACGAGCCCCGCGGUUGGCUUGUAGAACCGUCGGAUGCUGAGGAAAAGAGAGUUUGGUCAUCUAUUCAGUGACUCAGAACGGAUUUGCCUGCUGGCUUUAAUAAAUUCGCCGGCCAAAUGCCUAUAUUGCGACCGGAGGAAUCAGCCAACUCAUAAGAAGAGUUUCCAUGCCUAGCUAUCACCGUGCAAGGAUUUGACUCAAUCUACGGCGACGUUUACAACGGGACUCAUCAUCAGGGAUAACGACGUCACGAAGAAGCAACUCGUAAUCGAGCUCACCCGCGGUUAAAUGAUCGACACGAAGUGUGCGGUACAACGCACAGAAAUCUGAAUCGGAAAUACGUGACAUUGUAACGUUCAGUCACGUAAGUCGAAUGUGAAAAUAAAUACGAUUCGGGGUGGGAGCUUAGG